AUUGAACGCUGGCGGCAGGCCUAACACAUGCAAGUCGAACGCGUCGCGGACGGGUGAGUAAUGUCUGGGUAACUGCCUGAUGGAGGGGGAUAACUACUGGAAACGGUAGCUUAUACCGCAUACCAUCGGAUGUGCCCAGAUGGGAUUAGCUAGUAGGUGGGGUAAAGGCUCCCCUAGGCGACGCUCCCUAGCUGGUCUGAGCGGAUGACCAGCCACACUGGAACUGAGACACGGUCCAGACUCCUACGGGAGGCAGCAGUGGGGAAUAUUGCACAAUGGGCGCAAGCCUGAUGCAGCCAUGCCGCGUGUAUGAAGAAGGCCUUCGGGUUGUAAAGUACUUUCAGCGGGGAGGCGUUACCCGCAGAAGAAGCACCGGCUAACUCCGUGCCAGCCGCCGCGGUAAUUC
rnacentral:rRNA from 1 species